rnacentral:rRNA from 1 species
UACGUAGGGUGCGAGCGUUGUCCGGAAUUAUUGGGCGUAAAGGGCUCGUAGGCGGUUUGUCGCGUCGGGAGUGAAAACUCAGGGCUUAACCCUGAGCCUGCUUCCGAUACGGGCAGGCUAGAGUUCGGUAGGGGAGACUGGAAUUCCUGGUGUAGCGGUGAAAUGCGCAGAUAUCAGGAGGAACACCGAUGGCGAAGGCAGGUCUCUGGGCCGAUACUGACGCUGAGGAGCGAAAGCGUGGGAGCGAACAGG